rnacentral:lncRNA from 1 species
CUACGGGAGCCGGACCUCGCCCACGACUUCAAUUGCUGGUAGACUCCGUCCGGACUCCUACGGGAGCCGGACCUCGCCCUCGACUUCAACUGCAGGAAGACUCCGUCCGGACUCCUACGGGAGCUGGACCUCAUCCCUGACUCCAACUGUAGGAAGACUCCGUCCGGACUCCUACGGGAGCUGGACUUCGUCCCCGACUUCAACU